rnacentral:misc_RNA from 1 species
UUAAGUUCAGCGGGUAAUCCUAUCUGAUCUGAGGUCUAAUCUUAAAAAUUUGACUAGUUUGUCGGGUUUUAUAAGCUUCCAGCAAUAAUAUCGAAGGUCAGCCACGUCUAAAAAGACAUGUCCUCAGCGAAUAGUCUAUUACGCCGAGUCAAUCUGAUCUCGAUGAGAAGGAUGCUAAUGUAUUACGAGCGAGCUACGAU